UUCGAUAACGAACGAGACCUUAACCUGCUAAAUAGCCAGGCUAGCUUUGGCUGGUCGCCGGCUUCUUAGAGGGACUAUCGGCUCAAGCCGAUGGAAGUUUGAGGCAAUAACAGGUCUGUGAUGCCCUUAGAUGUUCUGGGCCGCACGCGCGCUACACUGAUCAAGUCAACGAGUUUACAACCUUGGCCGGAAGGUCUGGGUAAUCUUUUGAAACUUGAUCGUGCUGGGGAUAGUCCAUUGCAAUUAUUGGACUUCAACGAGGAAUUCCUAGUAAGCGUGAGUCAUCAGCUCGCGUUGAUUACGUCCCUGCCCUUUGUACACACCGCCCGUCGCUAGUACCGAUUGAAUGGAUG
rnacentral:rRNA from 1 species